rnacentral:rRNA from 1 species
UACGUAGGUGGCAAGCCGUUAUCCGGAAUUAUUGGGCGUAAAGCGCGCGUAGGCGGUUUUUUAAGUCUGAUGUGAAAGCCCACGGCUCAACCGUGGAGGGUCAUUGGAAACUGGAAAACUUGAGUGCAGAAGAGGAAAGUGGAAUUCCAUGUGUAGCGGUGAAAUGCGCAGAGAUAAUGGAGGAACACCAGUGGCGAAGGCGACUUUCUGGUCUGUAACUGACGCUGAUGUGCGAAAGCGUGGGGAU